GGACGGGAUCCAUCGGAGAGCUUGCUCGAGGAUGGUGAGAGUGGCGCACGGGUGCGUAACGCGUGAGCAACCUACCUCUAUCAGGGGGAUAGCCUCUCGAAAGAGAGAUUAACACCGCAUAAUAUAUCUGACCGGCAUCGGUUAGUUAUUAAAUAUUUAUAGGAUAGAGAUGGGCUCGCGUGACAUUAGCUAGUUGGUAGGGUAACGGCUUACCAAGGCGACGAUGUCUAGGGGCUCUGAGAGGAGAAUCCCCCACACUGGUACUGAGACACGGACCAGACUCCUACGGGAGGCAGCAGUAAGGAAUAUUGGUCAAUGGGCGGAAGCCUGAACCAGCCAUGCCGCGUGCAGGAUGACUGCCCUAUGGGUUGUAAACUGCUUUUGUCCAGGAAUAAACCUUUCUACGUGUAGGAAGCUGAAUGUACUGGAAGAAUAAGGAUCGGCUAACUCCGUG
rnacentral:rRNA from 1 species